UACGUAGGGGGCAAGCGUUGUCCGGAAUCACUGGGCGUAAAGGGCGCGUAGGUGGCGACCCAAGUCGAUGGUGAAAGCUCGUCGCUCAACGACGAGUCGGCCACCGAUACUGGGUUGCUCGAGCACUGUAGAGGCAGAGUGGAAUUCCGGGUGUAGCGGUGGAAUGCGUAGAGAUCCGGAAGAACACCGGUGGCGAAGGCGGUCUGCU
rnacentral:rRNA from 1 species